GAUUUCUUUGUGAAUCACCAUAUCUAAGCUAAUGUGGUGGUGGUUUUCAAAGUAAUUCA
rnacentral:pre_miRNA from 1 species